AUUGAACGCUGGCGGCAGGCCUAACACAUGCAAGUCGAGCGGAUGAGUGGAGCUUGCUCCAUGACUCAGCGGCGGACGGGUGAGCAAUGUCUAGGAAUCUGCCUGGUAGUGGGGGACAACGUUUCGAAAGGAACGCUAAUACCGCAUACGUCCUACGGGAGAAAGCAGGGGACCUUCGGGCCCUGCGCUAUCAGAUGAGCCUAGGUCGAAUGAGCUAGUAGGUGAGGUAAAGGCUCACCUAGCCGACGAUCCGUAACUGGUCUGAGGGGAAGAUCAAGCGCACUGGGCCGGAGACACGCUCCAGACUCCUACGGGAGGCAGCGGUGGGGAACAUUGAACAAUCGGCGGCAGCCUGAUCCAGCCAUGCAGUGUGUGUGAAGAAGGUCUUCGGAUUGUAACGCACUUUAAGUUGGGAGGAACGGCAGUAAGCUAAUACCUUGCUGUUUUGACGUUACCAACAGAAUAAGCACCGGCUAACUUCGUUCCAGCAGCCGCUGUAAUAC
rnacentral:rRNA from 1 species